UAUUCACAUGUUUUCACUGUGAAGUCAUCCUGAGGAAAGAAAUCUCAGAUCCGGAGCUGGAUUCAGCAUCUGCUUCAGUCUGAGCGUGGAUCAAUCACCUAGGAUUUCACUCAGGGGAAGAAAAUGUGUUUGGAUUAAAGCAGUUUGGGGAGCCCUGGAUCUUUACAAGGCUUUUACUUACCAUCCAGAAAUCAGAGGAAGCCAAUGCUAAGACCCAAUAAUCAUGUCUCCUUGUUGUCCAUCUCAACUUUUUGUUUACCACCUAAACAACCAUGACUGGAUUCUGCUUUCUCCAAAGAAUUGCUUUUCUCCUCCUCAGGGUCCUGGUGAGUGCUCAAGCCAGAGAGAAAAUAUUAUAGAAGAAAAAGAGUGGACAUGGAAGACCACGAGAAACUUUUGGAAUAAUUCAGGCAAGAAGACUAAGAUAGUGACAAUGGAAGGAAUAGAGGCAUUGAGAAUAUAUUUGCAGAAUAGAAGCACUGAGAAUAUAUUUGCAGAUAGAGCCAGCAGAACUUACUGGAAGUGGAUGGAGUCUGAUAGGAAGACUAAAGAGUCUGAUGCUGAGCCCUGAAAGCAUCCAAGAUCUAGAGACUGAGCACAGGAGUUGUAAAUCGGUAAGCAGAAGAACAACAAUGAGGCCAAAUAAGAACAAUCAGUGAAGUCUAGUGAUGUCAGGAAAAACAAAAAAUAAGAAGAGAAGUGAACCUGCUGAAUACUGUUGUAAGUUCAGGAAUACUGAAGAGAGGAAAGUUUGCUAAAUUUAAUUACUUUACCAAUUCAGAAGAAUGGUGGACCCUAAUUCUUAACUGGGUGAGUUUAGAACACUAGAGAACAGAAAAUUAUGAAGACCCUGUCUAGUUACUGACCAUACUUUCAGAAACUUAGCUGAAGAGGAGAGAGAAGUGGGAUGCGCAAUAACAAAGAAGUCAAGGAAAACUGUUUUUGCAGGUAGUUUUCAAGAUGCGAGACACUCAAGCCCAUAUAUACAAUGAUGAGAAUAAACAGGAGACAAAGCGGGGGGAGGGAGCUGAUGGUGCAGGAAGGGGGAAUAGAAGUGAAGAGUUUGACAAGAUAAGUGCGGUUAGGAUCCACAGCCUGGGCAGAAGAAUUGACCUAAGAUUAGGACUGAGGCCACUGAUCCAGAAGACCAAGUAAGUACAGAGUGUGUGCAGAGACCACCACGUGAGUAGAUUUGGUGAAAGGAAGAUGAGGAAUUCCCAGAUGACUGUUCUAAUUUCUCACUGAGUUAAGAGGCAGUAUUAUGAUUUGAGAAUAGAUGAAGGGGAUCAGGUGUUGACAAUGCAAGAGAGCAGAAAAUAUGUAAAAUAUGAUUUGAAAGAUAGGGCAAGCACACAUAUUGGAGAAGUACAGUAGAACCCAGAGACACUAUGGAAUGCCCAGUAGAGAUUGUGUCCAUGGAUUCAAAAAUAGACUAGCAACAUGACUAUGUGUUAUUUCCCCACAUUUCCCUUAGUCCAGUUCAGACAAGGAGUACUCAGGUAGUUGACUUUAACCAGGUCUAGAGUUUGCCAGGUGAGGUUGACAAAGAAAAGGCAAGGGAGUUAAAUAAACUAAAGGAGAAUGAUUAUAAUGUUGGAUAUAUUAUCUCAUCUGGCUAAGAAAAAAAAUGUGCAGACAUGAGGAGAGUAGGGGAAAAAAAAGAAAAACUGACAAGAGAAAAGAUUGGGCAUCUCCACAAGAACGAGAAAUUAUUUGAAACAGAGCACUCUAGGUGAGGAUCCAUAAGAAUAAGAAGCAUUGGUCAGAGAAUGGAAUAAAGAUAUCAAGAUUUUGAAGUGUACAAUUAUUGGUGAUCAGUAGUAUAUGCAUAGGCAGAGAUAGGAUGGGAGGAAAGGUGCUUAGAAAUGAGAAAGUCACUGAACUGAGAGGCCAGAUGUUGUCUCAGUUGUGUUUAAGGAUGUUGAAGCAAGCACCAAAGGUUCCAGGAGUGAGACAGAAAUGAAGGACUUGGUACAGUCUUCAGUGGACCAGGGGAAGUGACCAGAAAGUUAAGAUGAUGACAGCAACAAACAAAUGUACUAGGCGGUAUUGUCUCAAGGUGUGAAUUUCAAAUAGCUGGAUGUUGGGAAGAGAGACAGAAGAGGAAUUGUUGAAAAUGACAAACUGAGAGCAAGGAGUAUAUCUCUUCCAAGUCUCAGCCCAGAGAAAAGUAUGUUCAGAGAGAAACAAAGAGCCUCCAGUUGACAGGAAAAUCAACAUUUUCAGGGAAAAGUCAGGUUCUAAUCAGAACAUGAAAGUGAGGGGAACAGUGCAGGGCAUAAGAGACUUUGAAGAUGAUGGGUUUUAAAUUCCAGCAGUCUCUCCAGAACAUUUUGGGAGAGUGAGAUGAGGAAGACAGAUUAAGCACAUCAUAGUUAAUGAAAAGCCUAGAGGACAGGAUCAGCCCCAAAAACUGGGAUCCUGAGGGCCUCUUAUAAGAGACAAAUUAAAGCAGAAAGUCAUGGAGACAUGAGGCCACUGACUUCUGAGCAGUUCCUCAUGGUGCAGCAGUCAAAGAGACAAAUUGCUCUUUAACAGGAAUGUUUUCCUGGGCCUUCCCACAGAGAGGUAUCUGGCUCUGCUCACCAUUCCAGGGAAACCCUGAGCCACUCUCCCACCCUUUUCUGCUCUGGCCAUGAUGGGAUUUUCUCAGUGCUUCAAAGAUACCAUGUUUCCUCCCACCUCAGUACAUACAUUGAACCACGUGAUCCUCCACUUUCUUCCUCUGAGGAACUCUUACCCUUCAGCUUUUCAUCUAGGUAUGAUUUCUUCUUUUACCCCAAUUCCACACUUCCACAGCACUUUCUAACUCUUCAUGAAAUUUCUGCCUAAUGAGAGUUUUCAACACUGAACUGUAUGCUCUGUGAUGGCAGAGACUACAUUUUCUUGUCUUCCUCAUCCUCCUGCCUACAGUAUAAAUUUGUGCCUAUAGGCACUCAGUCACUAUCUACGGGAAGACUGAUUGGAGAAUGAGGCAUUCCGGAGUAAAAUACCAUUAGCUUAAGAGACAAAACAAUCAGGGUGGAUUCCUUACUUGGUUCCUUAUUUACUUUAACAUGUUGGGAUAUCACUUAACUACUCCUAAUUAAUUAGCAAGUUUAUCAGGGUAUUACUCAUGUUCAAUGCGAUCCUUCUGGUAUUUUUCACAUAGGCUGCUAUUGACACAGAUCUCCUUAUUUUUUCCUGUGAAAGAAGACUGGAAUAUGUAAAUUAAGCAAUCAUCCAAACUUCAUUUUGUAGUCUUAUCUUAAACUCAUUCCUUAGAUUUGAAGAUAUAAAAUCUCAGUAACAACAUUCCACAGGACUGGGACAGACACAUGGAAACAGACAGUAAGUUACCUGCACACGAGAUAUAAGCUUCCUCUCUUGAAGAGCAUGAGUUGUGUCUCCAGGGGUCAGAAGGACAUUGCCAGAGAGAGGAAUCAGUUUUCCGACACUCAAUUUGAUCCACCCACCGAAGUCUAGAACCUUCCCUGGGAACUAUGGAAGAGUUGAGGGUCCCACUGUCUCCACAGCCAAGCUGUCUACAGAUGAUGGACAAAGUCAUGGCUGCCAUGGGGCUGUGGCAGACACUGCCCCAGGUCCCAUUGUAGAAAACUUCCAGCCACCCAGCACACUCCUGGUCCUCGCUCACCAUCCUGAGUUUCAGGAAGUCUAAAUUGAAAGGGGUGAGAAGGGGAAACAAUCCACAAUAAGCAUUCCAUUCAAUGCUCUUGAUUUUUUUUCUCCAUGCCAGAGAUUGUGAACACUCAUCACUGACUCUGCUGAGUAAGCACACAUUAGGUGGUAAGACUGAAAUUGGUCUCCCUUUUACCUGAUUUUGUGUGUUUGUGUCUGUGUUUCUAUGACCACAAUGAUGCAGUAGAAUAUGAUCAGAGAGGAAUACCCACCUGGGCACUUUACACAGAGGGAAAGCUGAAUCUUGCUUCCUGACAAGACUUCUGAAAGAGUAUGUGAAAGUGGGGAGGUAGGCAGAAAAAUGGCCCCCCAAAGGUGUUGCAUAAAUGUGCUACUUUACAUGGCAAAGGAGACUUUACAGAUGUGAUUCAGAUAAGGACCUUGGGAUGGUGAGAUUAACCUGGAGUAGUGUGGGUUAACCAGGUGAAAACCCAAUCACAUCCUUAGACCUACUCUCCUUAAAAAAUGGGAAAUCUUUCCCAGCUUCAGUCAGAAGGAAAUGUGACUGUGGAAGAAUGGUCAGAAGCAGGCAACAUUGUCAGCUUGAAGGGAAAAAAAGGGAGCCAGUGAAUGCACAGGGCCUUAAGAAACUGGAAAAGAUAGGGACAAGGAAUCUCCCCUAGGGCCCCCAGAAAGAAUGCAGUCCUGUCCACACCUUGAUUUUAGCACAGUGAGACCCUUGUUGGACUUCUAGCAUACAAAACUGUACAUUAAUAAAUUUGUGUUGUUUCUACCAUUAAGUAUGUGGUAAUGCAUUUCAACAGCAAUAGGAUCUCAAGACUUUACCACCAUAGUGAACUGAAGAAUGAGCCCUGCUUUCGAAUGGAAGUCACCUGAACCUCAGCUGUGGGAGGAAAAGAAAGCACCUAAUCUUCACAUCUAGAAAGACAGGCAGGGGCAGCCCCGGUGGCGCAGCGGUUUAGCGCCGCCUGCAGCCCAGGGCGUGAUCCUGGAGACCCUGGAUCGAGUCCCACGUCAGGCUCUCUGUAUGGUGCCUGCUUCUCCCUCUGCCUCUCUCUCUGUCUCAAUAAAUAAAUAAAAUCUUAAAAAAAAAAAUAGA